rnacentral:misc_RNA from 1 species
GAUGAAGAACGUAGCGAAAUGCGAUAAGUAGUGUGAAUUGCAGAAUUCAGUGAAUCAUCGAAUCUUUGAACGCACAUUGCGCCCCUUGGUAUCCCGAGGGGCAUGCCUGUUCGAGCGUCAUUUCACCACUCAAGCCUGGCUUGGUGUUGGGCGACGUCCUCUUUGGGGACGCGCCUCGAAACGCUCGGCGGCGUGGCACCGGCUUUAAGCGUAGCAGAAUCUUUCGCUUUGGAAGUCGGGGCCCCGUCUGCCGGAAGACCUGCUCGCAAGGUUGACCUCGGAUCAGGCAGGGAUACCCGCUGAACUUAAGUAUAUCAAUAAGCGGAGGA